UAAACUUAAUAAUUUGGCUGUAAUUAUUUUAUAAAGGAGCUUGUAAUUUAAUCGAAAUCACACGAAUAUUUUACUUAUAUUUAUCUUGUAUAUCUCCGUAUAGAUUUUAUUUGAGAUAUUUUGAUAAUUUUCUUACUAGUAAAAUUUAAUACAACAGGUCAAGGUGCAGUGUAUAUAAGAUAUUAUGCGCUACAUUAAAUAAUUAGUUAGAUGGAUUUUUUAUGCAAUUUUUUAUGAAAGUGGAUUUAUAAGUAAAAUAAUAUAUUAUAUUUAUUUGAAAAUAUGUUAAUUAUGUACACAU
rnacentral:rRNA from 1 species